rnacentral:rRNA from 1 species
GUCUACGGCCUUGCUCCCCUCAACAAGCCCAAUCCUGUCUGAUCUCGGAAGCUAAGCAGGGUCGAGCCUGGUUAGUACUUGGAUGGGAGACCACCUAGAAAGACCAGGUGCUGUAGAUG